UUGAUUUUAGUUAUUUGUGAACGUACUACGAACAAACCAAAAAUAUAUUAUAGUCAAAAAAAAAUUAAAUC
rnacentral:misc_RNA from 1 species